UAGGUGCCUCUCUAUGACUUCAUAAAAUGUCAUCAGAGCAGAAGCUUAUAACUCAUGUUUCUUCUGUGGCCAGGAUGGAGACAAAGCUGUGACUGAGGAACUUAUGCAUGUCUGAGGUGGGAAGGGGAGGAUGAGAGGAGGAGACUCUGGAGGAGGAGGAAUGGAGACGACUCCACAAAGAGGCUGACUUUGAGACCAAGCAGGACGAAAGAGCCGGGCUUGGCUGGUGGAAUAAGGACAUCACAAAGAGCGUCUGCAGCAGCGCAUGCCAGGGAGGGCUUGAAGGAACACUGAGGUCAAUGUCACCUUUUUGGAGGAACGGGCUUCAAGGAUGCUUGAAAUAAAUGGAUGAGUCAAGUUUA
rnacentral:lncRNA from 1 species